GACGAACGCUGGCGGCGUGCUUAACACAUGCAAGUCGAACGGAAAGGCCCCCAUCUUGGUGGGGGUGCUCGAGUGGCGAACGGGUGAGUAACACGUGGGUGAUCUGCCCUGUACUUCGGGAUAAGCUUGGGAAACUGGGUCUAAUACCGGAUAGGACCAUGGUUUAGUGUCUCAUGGUGGAAAGAUUAUUGUUUUGGUGCAGGAUGAGCUCGCGGCCUAUCAGCUUGUUGGUGGGGUAAUGGCCUACCAAGGCGUCGACGGGUAGCCGGCCUGAGAGGGUGGACGGCCGCAUUGGGACUGAGACACGGCCCAGACUCCUACGGGCGGCAGCAGUGGUGAAUCGUGCACAAUGGGCGCAAGCCUGAUGCAGCGACGCCGCGUGGGGGAUGACGGCCUUCGGGUUGUAAACUCCUUUCGUUAGGGACGAAGCCGCUCUUUUUUUGGGUGUGGUGACGGUACCUUUGUUAAGAAGCCCCGGCUAACUACGUG
rnacentral:rRNA from 1 species